rnacentral:rRNA from 1 species
UACGGGGGGUGCGAGCGUUGUCCGGAAUCACUGGGCGUAGAGGGCGCGUAGGUGGUCUGAUAAGGGUGUGGUGAAAGCCCGGGGCUCAACCCCGGGUCGGCCGUGCCGACUGUUAGACUAGAGUGCUGUAGGGGCAGGCGGAAUUCCGGGUGUAGCGGUGGAAUGCGUAGAGAUCCGGAGGAAGACCGGUGGCGAAGGCGGCCUGCUGGGCAGAUACUGACACUGAGGAGCGAAAGCGUGGGGAGCAAACAGG